rnacentral:rRNA from 1 species
GAACGCUAGCUACAGGCUUAACACAUGCAAGUCGAGGGGCAGCAUUUUAGUUUGCUUGCAAACUGAAGAUGGCGACCGGCGCACGGGUGAGUAACACGUAUCCAACCUGCCGAUAACUCCGGAAUAGCCUUUCGAAAGAAAGAUUAAUACCGGAUAGCAUACGAAUAUCGCAUGAUAUUUUUAUUAAAGAAUUUCGGUUAUCGAUGGGGAUGCGUUCCAUUAGUUUGUUGGCGGGGUAACGGCCCACCAAGACAACGAUGGAUAGGGGUUCUGAGAGGAAGGUCCCCCACAUUGGAACUGAGACACGGUCCAAACUCCUACGGGAGGCAGCAGUGAGGAAUAUUGGUCAAUGGGCGAGAGCCUGAACCAGCCAAGUAGCGUGAAGGAUGAAGGCUCUAUGGGUCGUAAACUUCUUUUAUAUGGGAAUAAAGUUUUCCACGUGUGGAAUUUUGUAUGUACCAUAUGAAUAAGGAUCGGCUAACUCCGUGCCAGCAGCCGCGGUAAUACGGAGGAUCCGAGCGUUAUCCGGAUUUAUUGGGUUUAAAGGGAGCGUAGGUGGAUUGUUAAGUCAGUUGUGAAAGUUUGCGGCUCAACCGUAAAAUUGCAGUUGAAACUGGCAGUCUUGAGUACAGUAGAGGUGGGCGGAAUUCGUGGUGUAGCGGUGAAAUGCUUAGAUAUCACGAAGAACUCCGAUUGCGAAGGCAGCUCACUAGACUGUCACUGACACUGAUGCUCGAAAGUGUGGGUAUCAAACAGGAUUAGAUACCCUGGUAGUCCACACAGUAAACGAUGAAUACUCGCUGUUUGCGAUAUACAGUAAGCGGCCAAGCGAAAGCAUUAAGUAUUCCACCUGGGGAGUACGCCGGCAACGGUGAAACUCAAAGGAAUUGACGGGGGCCCGCACAAGCGGAGGAACAUGUGGUUUAAUUCGAUGAUACGCGAGGAACCUUACCCGGGCUUAAAUUGCAACAGAAUAUAUUGGAAACAGUAUAGCCGUAAGGCUGUUGUGAAGGUGCUGCAUGGUUGUCGUCAGCUCGUGCCGUGAGGUGUCGGCUUAAGUGCCAUAACGAGCGCAACCCUUAUCUUUAGUUACUAACAGGUGAUGCUGAGGACUCUAGAGAGACUGCCGUCGUAAGAUGUGAGGAAGGUGGGGAUGACGUCAAAUCAGCACGGCCCUUACGUCCGGGGCUACACACGUGUUACAAUGGGGGGUACAGAAGGCGGCUACCUGGUGACAGGAUGCUAAUCCCAAAAACCUCUCUCAGUUCGGAUCGAAGUCUGCAACCCGACUUCGUGAAGCUGGAUUCGCUAGUAAUCGCGCAUCAGCCAUGGCGCGGUGAAUACGUUCCCGGGCCUUGUACACACCGCCCGUCAAGCCAUGAAAGCCGGGGGUACCUGAAGUACGUAACCGCAAGGAGCGUCCUAGGGUAAAACUGGUAAUUGGGGCU